rnacentral:rRNA from 1 species
UACGGGGGGGGCAAGCGUUGUUCGGAAUUACUGGGCGUAAAGGGCUUGUAGGUGGCCAACUAAGUCAGACGUGAAAUCCCUCGGCUUAACCGGGGAACUGCGUCUGAUACUGGAUGGCUUGAGUGUGGGAGAGGGAUGCGGAAUUCCAGGUGUAGCGGUGAAAUGCGUAGAUAUCUGGAGGAACACCGGUGGUGUAGACGGCUUACUGGACCACGACUGACACUGAGGCACGAAAGCGUGGGUAGCAAACAGG